rnacentral:rRNA from 1 species
UACAGAGGUCCCAAGCGUUAUUCGGAAUCACUGGGCGUAAAGCGCGUGUAGGCUGUCUGGAAAGUCAGAGGUGAAAGCCCAGAGCUUAACUCUGGAAUUGCCUUUGAAACUCCCAGACUUGAAUUCGGUAGAGGAUAGUGGAAUUCCUAGUGUAGAGGUGAAAUUCGUAGAUAUUCGGAGGAACACCGGUGGCGAAGGCGGCUCACUGGCUCGGUACUGACGCUGAGGUGCGAAAGCGUGGGGAGCAAACAGG